rnacentral:lncRNA from 1 species
ACCCAAAUGGAUUGGGUGGAUACCUCCAUCCUCCGGCGAUGUUCUCCCUGGGGGCUGACCGGGGGACGUUGCAUUAUGCCCGUCAGCCUCCUUUCUGCAGGCGUUGUAUGGCCUAUGGUCAUAUCCUCGCCUCGUGCGGCACAAAGAAGUGUAGGUAUUGUGGAUCUACGGAGCACGAGGCGAGGGACUGUGACGCGCCGAAGGCAUGUCACGGGUGUGGUAUGCUAACGCACCUGUGGCGUGAAUGCCCGGCGCGUCAGAGGUCAUACGCGUCUGCAGCUGGGGGGGGAGCAAGAGCCGGGGAUGGGGGUAGAAGGAGGGACCAAGAACAAAGGACUGGAACAGAGGGAGCGGACACACGGGUGGAAGAGGAGGAGAAAACGGAAGCGGGAGGAGAAAAAGGAAAAGAAGACAACAGCAUAGUGGAAACGGAAGGGCAGAAGGCUAAAGGAGAGCAGGAGGAGGAAGGAGACAGGAGAGUGAAGGGGCCAGAGAAGACGGCUGUGGAGAGGAAGGAGACGGAGAAGGCAACAGAGAGGGAGGAGACUGGGAAGACGGAGGUGGAGAAGAAAGAGACAGAAAGGAAGGAGACUGGGAAGAAGGUGGUGGAGAAGAAAGAGACAGAAAGGAAGGAGACUGGGAAGAAGGUGGUGGAGGAGAAAGAGACAGAAAGGAAGGAGACUGGGAAGACGGCGGUGGAGAAGAAAGAGAUAGAAAGGAAGGAGACAGGGAAGAAGGUGGUGGAGGAGAAAGAGACAGAAAGGAAGGAGAUAGGGAAGAAGGUGGUGGAGAAGAAAGAGACAGAAAGGAAGGAGACAGGGAAGAAGGUGGUGGAGAAGAAAGAGACAGAAAGGGAGGAGAAAGAGAAGGCAGUGGUGGCGGGACCAGUAGGAGAUGGAGUGAAGGAGUGGGGGGACAGUAAAGCGGUG